GGGUGAGUAAUAUAUCGGAUCGUACCCAAGAGUGGGGGAUAACGUAGCGAAAGUUACGCUAAUACCGCAUACGAUCUAAGGAUGAAAGCAGGGGAUCUUCGGACCUUGUGCUCCUGGAGCGGCCGAUAUCUGAUUAGCUAGUUGGUGAGGUAAAGGCUCACCAAGGCGACGAUCAGUAGCUGGUCUGAGAGGACGACCAGCCACACUGGAACUGAGACACGGUCCAGACUCCUACGGGAGGCAGCAGUGGGGAAUUUUGGACAAUGGGCGCAAGCCUGAUCCAGCAAUGCCGCGUGAGUGAAGAAGGCCUUCGGGUUGUAAAGCUCUUUUGUCAGGGAAGAAACGGGAGAGGCUAAUAUCCUUUCCUAAUGACGGUACCUGAAGAAUAAGCACCGGCUAACUACGUGCCAGCAGCCGCGGUAAUACGUAGGGUGCAAGCGUUAAUCGGAAUUACUGGGCGUAAAGCGUGCGCAGGCGGUUUUGUAAGUCUGUCGUGAAAUCCCCGGGCUCAACCUGGGAAUUGCGAUGGAGACUGCAAGGCUAGAAUCUGGCAGAGGGGGGUAGAAUUCCACGUGUAGCAGUGAAAUGCGUAGAGAUGUGGAGGAACACCGAUGGCGAAGGCAGCCCCCUGGGUCAAGAUUGACGCUCAUGCACGAAAGCGUGGGGAGCAAACAGGAUUAGAUACCCUGGUAGUCCACGCCCUAAACGAUGUCUACUAGUUGUCGGGUUUUAAUUAACUUGGUAACGCAGCUAACGCGUGAAGUAGACCGCCUGGGGAGUACGGUCGCAAGAUUAAAACUCAAAGGAAUUGACGGGGACCCGCACAAGCGGUGGAUGAUGUGGAUUAAUUCGAUGCAACGCGAAAAACCUUACCUACCCUUGACAUGGAAGGAAUCCCGGAGAGAUUUGGGAGUGCUCGAAAGAGAACCUUCACACAGGUGCUGCAUGGCUGUCGUCAGCUCGUGUCGUGAGAUGUUGGGUUAAGUCCCGCAACGAGCGCAACCCUUGUGACUAGUUGCCAGCGCGUCAUGGCGGGAACUCUAGUCAGACUGCCCAGAUCAACUGGGAGGAAGGUGGGGACGACGUCAGGUCAGUAUGGCCCUUACGCCCAGGGCUGCACACGUACUACAAUGCCCAGUACAAUGGGAACCGAGGCCGCGAGGCGGAGGAAAUCCACAAAACUGGGCCCAGUUCGGAUUGGAGGCUGCAACUCGCCUCCAUGAAGUCGGAAUCGCUAGUAAUGGCGCAUCAGCUACGGCGCCGUGAAU
rnacentral:rRNA from 1 species